rfam:Prunus persica cultivar Lovell chromosome G7, whole genome shotgun sequence.
GUAUAACAUUGUUUUGCUAUUUCCGACUAAUAACACAAUGACACAUGAAAAAAUUAUCCUAUGUAUCACUAUGUUAUUAGUCGGAAAUAGCAAAAAGAUUUUGUUU